rnacentral:rRNA from 1 species
GACGAACGCUGGCGGCGUGCUUAACACAUGCAAGUCGAACGGAAAGGCCCUGCUCUUGUGGGGUGCUCGUGUGGCGAACGGGUGAGUAACACGUGAGUAACCUGCCCUUGACUUUGGGAUAACUCUAGGAAACUGGGGCUAAUACCGGAUAGGAGCUCCUGCUGCAUGGUGGGGGUUGGAAAGUUUCGGCGGUUGGGGAUGGACUCGCGGCUUAUCAGCUUGUUGGUGGGGUAGUGGCUUACCAAGGCUUUGACGGGUAGCCGGCCUGAGAGGGUGACCGGCCACAUUGCGACUGAGGUACGGCCCAGACUCCUACGGGAGGCAGCAGUGGGGAAUAUUGCACAAUGGGCGGAAGCCUGAUGCAGCAACGCCGCGUGCGGGAUGACGGCCUUCGAGGUGUAAACCGCUUUCGCCUGUGACGAAGCGUGAGUGACGGUAAUGGGUAAAGAAGCACCGGCUAACUACGUG